rnacentral:tRNA from 1 species
GGUGGCUCAGUGGUAGAGUGCUUGCCUUGCAUGCAUGAGGUUCUGGGUUCCAUUCCUCAGUACCA